UUGUGCCUGAGGCAUUGCAAGUUGACUAAAGCUCUGUAGUUCAUCCAUCCACUAGUAGCUUCCCUGUGCUUCUUGCAAGCUCUUCUAAUCUUGUUCCUCUUCUGCGUUUGUGUUUCUGAAUUCUGGCAUCAGGAUUACAUAUACUGGUCGACGUGAUCGCUUUUAAGUACAUUUCGUCUGUUUUGGUUGUUCGAACAAACACCAUGAUCAAGUUCUUCGAUUGCAGAAGGAGCAGCGCAUGAACUAGUGGCUGAAGCAGCUACCAAGACAAUGGCCAUGCUGAUCUGCUGGGAACACUUGUGUACUGUAAUAAAACCCAGAGAUGCAUAUCGCAAUCUAACAGCGUAGCACUGUCUGUAUCAUCAUAUAGUGUGUAAGAAUGCCCAGAGACGCAUCGGACAAUCUAACAGCAUAGCACCACUCUGCGUGUGGUUUUGUUAGCUGUUCACUGUAUAAGGUCAAUAAAACUAUGCUUUUUACGUA